rnacentral:rRNA from 1 species
GACGAACGCUGGCGGCGUGCCUAAUACAUGCAAGUUGAGCGCUGAAGGUUGGUACUUGUACCAACUGGAUGAGCAGCGAACGGGUGAGUAACGCGUGGGGAAUCUGCCUUUGAGCGGGGGACAACAUUUGGAAACGAAUGCUAAUACCGCAUAAAAACUUUAAACACAAGUUUUAAGUUUGAAAGAUGCAAUUGCAUCACUCAAAGAUGAUCCCGCGUUGUAUUAGCUAGUUGGUGAGGUAAAGGCUCACCAAGGCGAUGAUACAUAGCCGACCUGAGAGGGUGAUCGGCCACAUUGGGACUGAGACACGGCCCAAACUCCUACGGGAGGCAGCAGUAGGGAAUCUUGGGCAAUGGACGAAAGUCUGACCGAGCAACGCCGCGUGAGUGAAGAAGGUUUUCGGAUCGUAAAACUCUGUUGGUAGAGAAGAACGUUGGUGAGAGUGGAAAGCUCAUCAAGUGACGGUAACUACCCAGAAAGGGACGGCUAACUACGUG